GUUCAGAAAGAGCUGGGAAGUCCUAAGGAUGUAGCUGAGACACAAAGACUCUCACAAAGAGAAGAAGGACACAGAUUUUUGUGGAGGGAAAAUGAAAAUCUUGGGAUUCUGUACGGAAAGGGUUUGUGAAGCCUGUUCUCAAAGAGUGACAUGGAAAGGACAUAAGGAAUUUGUACCACCUCGUCUUCUUCUAGAACACAGUCCAAGAAAGAAACCAGCAGCUGUUGACGAAGAAAAGUCUAUUGUGGUACCCAGAGAAGUGAAAAGUAAGUUGUUUUUUAUUAUAUUUCCCUUGUCUUCAUGUUAAUUUAUGCAAAGGAUAGGAGUAUAUUGUC
rnacentral:lncRNA from 1 species